UUCCUUUUUCUGUACACUUCCUGAAACAUACACAAAUAAAAUCUGUUCUUAUCAGCUUAACAUCUGAUACACUUCCACGUGAAGUGCCAUAUGUUAAACUAAUUUUUGAAAACAGGCGGAGAAUUUGGAGCUUGCUCCUACUCCGCCACGGGUUGAUCCGGUAUUGCAGUACCACCGGAAACAGCCCAAUAUCA